rnacentral:lncRNA from 1 species
AACUCCUGACCUCAAGUGAUCCGCCCACCUCGGCCUCCCAAAGUGCUGGGAUUACAGGCAUGAGCCACCGCUCCGGGCCCUUGCACAUAUUUUUUUAUGAACACACAGGCAGCAGCACUUUGAUUACAGUAACUUACAUGGAAGUUAUUUUAAAAUGGCUUUCCCCUUCUCUUUUUCAUGUAGGCUGCAUUUUUCAUCUGCAGCACGCUUUCUCUCAAGAAUCUCAAGCACACACAAGAAACCAGAGAGUAAAAUCACUGAGGCGUGAACACAUCCAGAGACCAAGGGCGUCACUGGCAGAAAAGCUUUUAGGCGGAUCCACGGCCCGAGAGCCACCCUGCCCAGAGACGCGGUUUCCUAGGAGCAGUUCACACGCGGCUCUGCAGCACCCACAAGCGGGGCCAGGGGCUGGUUUUCAUAGUUCACAGUCUGCAGGGAUCUUAACAAAAACAUGGCCGUGGUAAAAGUGCCUAGACCAGGCUUUCGUCACAACUCAUCAUGUUACUAGGUUAGGAUAAUAAAAAGGACUGUGAACUUCACAUCUGCCAUCUAUAAUAGAUUCUUAUUGUAGCAAUCUUGCACCAAGGGGAUUUCUUUAUUAACUCUGCCAAAUUUUCCAAAAUUACCAAAUGGAGAAAAGAGCUGGUCCCAUCUGUCACCAGGCACAACCAGCGCGAUACCUGACUUUCACCAUGAUGAAUGGAGACAGGAUGGGGUCUGAAUGCUAGUCUUCAAUGCACCAUACAACAGUGCUAGACCCUCAUCAGUAUGAAGGGGAACAAAGCCCUCCUUAAAAGAUUUACUAGAGUUAACACCUGGGGAUCCUCAAGAAAUGAAUGCUAUCAUUGUUCUGCUUCAGAAGGUAGAAAUACAGGGAAUACACUUCAGAUAGGUUAAGAUAAAAAGUUUUGUGUUUAAGGCAGCACCUCAGUUGCCUGGAAAAUUCACUUCUGUAUAAUGCCUAAUUUGUUAAUGAUGCCGUGAAUAGAUGCUUUCUAAUAACUACACAAGUUUGUUUUUAUGAAAAAGUAGAGUAACAUGUCCUCUGAUGUUAGUAGUAGGAGAGUUUGAAUAAAGGACUUUAAACAAAUGAAGCAUAUAAUCCUCUCUCUUUAUUAGAAUGAUGAAGAGUGGGGGUGUUGUCUGUUUAUACAGUUAUCACCUAGGAGUCAUAUCAAGAUUCUUUUCCUAAUCUCAGUGAAGAGGUUAAAAAAAAGUUUAAAGAUUAGAGAUUUAGUAGAAUUGUCUUGUAGCACCUUUUUAAAAUAAAAUUUUUAAACGUAUCU